AUUGAACGCUGGCGGCAGGCUUAACACAUGCAAGUCGAGCGGGGAAAGGUAGCUUGCUACCUGUCCUAGCGGCGGACGGGUGAGUAAUGCUUAGGAAUCUGCCUAUUAGUGGGGGACAACAUCUCGAAAGGGAUGCUAAUACCGCAUACGUCCUACGGGAGAAAGCAGGGGACCUUAGGGCAUUGCGCUAAUAGAUGAGCAUACGUCGGAUUAGCUAGUUGGUGGGGUAAAGGGCUACCAAGGCGACGAUCUGUAGCGGGUCUGAGAGGAUGAUCCGCCACACUGGGACUGAGACACGGCCCAGACUCCUACGGGAGGCAGCAAUGGGGAAUAUUGGACAAUGGGGGGAACCCUGAUCCAGACAUGCCGCGUGUGUGAAGAAGGCCUUUUGGUUGUAAAGCACUUUAAGCGAGGAGGAGGCUACCGAGAUUAAUACUCUUGGAUAGUGGACGUUACUCGCAGAAUAAGCACCGGCUAACUCUGUGCCAGCAGCCGCCGUAAAAC
rnacentral:rRNA from 1 species